rnacentral:rRNA from 1 species
CAGCCGCCGCGGUAAUACGAGGGGAGCUAGCGUUGUUCGGAAUUACUGGGCGUAAAGCGCGCGUAGGCGGCUUUUUAAGUCAGAGGUGAAAGCCCGGGGCUCAACCCCGGAAUUGCCUUUGAAACUGGAAAGCUAGAAUCUUGGAGAGGUCAGUGGAAUUCCGAGUGUAGAGGUGAAAUUCGUAGAUAUUCGGAAGAACACCAGUGGCGAAGGCGACUGACUGGACAAGUAUUGACGCUGAGGUGCGAAAGCGUGGGGAGCAAACAGGAUUAGAUACCCCCGUAGUCCCUGUCUCUUAUAC